rnacentral:rRNA from 1 species
GACGAGGGGUCCUAGCGUUGUUCGGAAUCAUUGGGCGUAAAGCGUGUGUAGGCGGCCAUUCAAGUCAGUUGUGAAAUCCCCGGGCUUAACCCGGGAAGUGCUUCUGAUACUGUUUGGCUUGAGUACUGGAGAGGAUAGUGGAAUUCCUGGUGUAGUGGUGAAAUACGUAGAUAUCAGGAGGAACACCGGUGGCGAAGGCGGAUAUCUGGCCAUGUACUGACGCUGAGACACGAAAGCGUGGGGAGCAAACAGG